UUUCUUUUUCAUUCUAAUGCUUGGUUUGAAUUUCUUGUUCAAACCAGGUUGUCUUGACCAUGUCUACAUGUCUAAAUGCAUUGAGUUGCUGGAUUGGCUGAUAACCAGCUGUUGAACAGGUGUACCUAAUAAUGCGGCUGGCCACACCUCUUCGGAGUAGCAGCGAGCGGAAGCACAGAGCAGCUGCGUCUCCCAUGGUCACGUAGCCCUUCGCAAAACACCCGAGUAAGUUCAACUGAAGUAAAGCCGACAGCUGACCAGGUGAAAUAACUGACAGUGAGAAAUCGAUCGCUCAGUCGUUGGUGGAAACAUAAAUCCGAUGGUCUCCUAGUGAUUCAGCUGAAUGCAGAAAACGCCGAAGCACCAAAGUUACUACAAAAACCGAAGUUACUACAAAAACAGAGAAGAUGAUAUCAGUGCUAAACACCAUUCCCGGGAAAUCCCACCAGGUUCCAACACCCUCGA